GGUUGUGGCUCAGCGGUAGAGCGCUCGCCUAACACAAGCAAGACCCUGGGUUUGAUCCUCAGCACCA
rnacentral:tRNA from 1 species